CCCCCCCCCCCCCCCAAAAAAAAAAAUUGUUGAAUUCUUGUUUUUUUAUAUAUUAUAUUGACUUAUUUUCAAACAAGAUAUUUAGUUUGAAGCUGCUUUGACGCACAGAUUGUUAUUUCUUGUAUAGAUGUAAUAAAAGACAUAGCUUUAACAAAG
rnacentral:misc_RNA from 1 species